UUUUAUCAUGGGUUAAAAGGAGUCGUAAACUUGAGGAGAAGAAACUUUCUGAAAAAGAGAAAGCCUUGCAGCUCUCAAAGAUUUUUGAGGAACAAGACAAUAUUGAUCAAGGUGUGAGCGAUGAUGAUAUUGCACUGGAAGAUACAACUAGUAAUCUAGCUGGAGUUAAAGUACUUCAUGGCAUAGACAAAGUAUUAGAGGGUGGCGCGGUUGUCUUAACCCUUAAAGAUCAGAGUAUCUUAGCUGAUGGCGACAUUAAUGAA
rnacentral:misc_RNA from 1 species